GGGGGUGUAGCUCAGUGGGAGAGCGCCUGCCUUGCACGCAGGAGGCCAUCGGUUCAACCCCGUUCACCUCCACCA
rnacentral:tRNA from 2 species